UCAAACGGUUAUUUCUAUAUUUUUCUUGUGUCUUGCAUUUUCAUUCAUGUUAGAAUCCUGUGUUUUUUUUCUUCUAUUUUUGCGUUUUUUCAUUCCUACUUCCAAAAUUGCCCUUAAGAUUGGUGCCAGUGUGACGUGGCGUAAUCUCAUGUAGGAUUUGUUCCCGUUCACUUGGAAAAGAACGGGCAGCAUUAUUUACAGCAUCCUCCCUUUGCCCGCCAAUCCAAAAUUCCAAACACCAAACGUGCGAGGGCGGCGCGACCCCAACGUAAAGCCCGUCUAAGGCAACGGCAGGCGGCGGCGAACGCGUUGGGGCCUUGCGGAUAGGCGGGCAUCCCAACACCGGCGGCAGCGCUCGCCAACGACUUCCACGGCCAGGACGGCCUCCGCCGCGGUCAAUCCGCCUGCGCGUUUGGUCUGGUGCGUGCUGCUAGGGCGUAGGGCUAGGUUUGUUGCUACCCUAAGAUCGCGCGCUCGUUUGCCAACGUCUCCGCCAACCAGCGGUGUUGUCAACCGGGAUGACUUGCCCGCUUGGCGCUCCGAUGACGUAAUCUGAUCGUAAGAUGAGAUCUCAUGCGUCCAGUGGUUUUUGCCCGGAACCUGUUUGUUGAAAUGCGUAUGUGUGUUCUGGAAGGGGAAUAUGCUUACCUUGACCACCAUAAGCGCUGUCGUCAGCAGUGUUGGUGCACGGAAAGCUGCAAGGGAAUCAGUGGGUGGAUAGGACUGUUGGAUACCGCCUGCUCGUUUGAAAAGCUGGAGAAGUGGAGAGGUUCCGUAACUCUACCUGAUGGCACGGCUUGAUCAUUAUCUCAGUGUGGCGUCCAUGCUUUCGGUGCCCUUUUGGAUGGAUGUGGGCAGCCAUGUGCUAAUUGAUUCUCUCAAGGCCAUGUGACUGAAUUCUGAAAUUUUGUUGGAUUCGUAUUUCAGGGUUUUGGUGGUCAUACCGGGAGUGAAAUGCAUGCUGACAGGCUUUGGCAGCCACAAGGCCCUGGGCGUUGAUACUUGAUACUGUAAUGCAGUCAUUUACUGAUGGAAUCAAAAGGGUGUACAGUGGCUGUAUGUUUGUGCCAAAGUGCAAUCUGCAGUUAUUGGCGUUUUGCAAUUCGUUGCUGAGCAAUCUGCAAUCAAUGCCUCACAGAUUGGAUAAAGUUUUUGGAAUACCUUGUAUUCUUGUUGCGGAUGGGGAAUGUUGAACUGCAAUCACUUGAUGGUUCUGUUGAGUCAAUUCAAAUAUUGAACUUUGUAUCCGGACCCUGGGUUGUUUUCAGACUUCCAGUGCCCAUUUUCUGAUCCAUCUCCCCUAAGCAAGUAUAAGGUAAUGGACAGGACUGCAUUUCGUACUUGUUGCAGGAAUAUAAGCUGAUAUCAUUGCAUAGCAGUGCAGGGGACAGACGGUAGCUUAGUAUCAAGGCAGUGGAAAAUAAAUACAAUGGCAAUUCAAAACUAUUCCUGGUAACAAUACAUAUUCUGCUAUUACCUAAGCUAAUUGCAUUUUUUACUUGGACCAUUAUGCAUUAGCAGGGGCUUAGAUAUUUUGGUCAUUGUUGAGUCCAGUUCUAUAGCGCAAAUUGUAUAUUGACGCAGAUAUGAUUGACAAGAGUGUUGAUGUUUUUCAAAAUAGCUUCCUCAAGAUAGUGCUAUAGGUUUCCUAGAAACAAGAUAAUGGAGGGGAGCUGUUGCUGCCAUCCUGUUCUUGAGAAUAGGGGAAACUAAAUACUUAUCUUGUAUUUUCUAGUUCAAACUUAAAAAGGGGGAGCAUAUUUACAUGUUUCACGGUUCUAAUGGACCAUUCAAGUAUUUUGUAUGUUGCCUGCAGUACACACCUCCAUAAUAGCAACUUAUAAAGUACUCCCUCUAUCCACUUUUCUUGGGCGCAUUUCACCUAGGCACUAGGAUUAAGGAGCAUAAAGAAUUGGUCAAAGUACCAAUAAUGCAGUUUUUUUGCUCUUUCAGAGAAUGUCCUCCAUUAAAUGCAUGCAGCAUGUGUCUUCUGCACUUAAUAGGGUCAUUAGAGCAAAGAAACUUACAAAUUUUGUCUUGUCAACUGUGAGCGCCUUACAUUGAUGGACAAACAGAUACACCUAAGAAAAGUGGAUGGAGGGAGGGAGUAUAUGCUGCAAUCACAAAAUAUGUCUCCUCUUCACCAAGUGCCUAUGGCUUGUUUUACUUUUACCAAAUGGAAAUAGGUACACGUAAGGUGCUUUGCUGAAGUAUUUAUUAAUACAUACAUAAACAAAUAUAUGAGUAAGCAUAUUGGAGGAUAAAGAAUAUUUGUUAGAGGAAGCUGGAGUAAAGCAUGAAGAAUGCUCUACAACAGUUAUGCUUGAAACCAGGAGUUUCUUAGGCAAUUAUUAUGCUUGUAUAAGUUCCAGACACUAAAUUCUUGGGAGAUAGGACUUGUAUCUUUUACAGCUCAAAAUUCAUUACUUGCAUAAUCAGUAGGCCCCUAUUCAGUCACGCUACUGACAUUUGUGAUUCUAUUUAGAAGCCCCUUGAUAAUUGUCUGAUUGAAUUAGAUCUAACGCAGAAGACAUAAUUUAUUGUUGUUAUAGUUCACUUCCUGGAAGCAAGUACAUGGGAAUUGCUGUUGCUUCUUUUGAUGUCAUGGUUUUGUGGCAACACUGAGAUUUACAAUUCAGGUAUCUUGAUGAACCAGCAUUAGAAGCUGGAGAUGCUAAUUAUGAUCCUGUAUUUCCUACUGGGCGUGGGUCGAAAAGGUUGUGAGGUGCUGGCAUAAACGUCCCAAUUUUUUUAUCUGAUUUUUUUGUUCUAGACUUCUAGUAUAACCUACUGUAUUGAUGACUAUUACAAAAUACCAUUUUCGAAAAAAAAACUAUUAGAAAAUAUACAAGACAAACCUUUUUCCUUGGAGAGAUUAUUUCCCCUUUUUUAAGGUGUUAGAUCCUAGUCAUUUAACUCCUGUUUUAUCCUCUCAUGAUCUACUCCUUUAUUGCCAUGAUAAGUUGUAUCAACUGUGGUUGUCGACUGUUUGUCAUGCAUAACACUUCUUUAGAUUUGAGGGUGUAAAGUAGGAGCUAAUUCAAAAUCUACGAAAAGCUGGCAGGUCUUACCUUAUGAAUUACAGCUUCUUUGGAAAAUGUAGAUCUACUGCCAUACUGCAAAUAUGAAUAUCUCUGCUGGAAGAGCACCGCAAAAACCUUUGCUAUGAGUUCCUUCUGACAUGUGAUUAAUCCUGACAUCAGUUGAACUUCAACCUUGACAACAAUAGGAAAUCUACAAUGGGCUGAUAUCAGAAAUUUCUAGGAAGAGACACUUGAAAGCAUGUCUAUAUAUAGCUUAAAGGUAGCUGAUGAAAUGCGAGAAAGAUAACGUGAUUAAUAUGGCAUGCAGAGCAUAUCAACAACACAUGGAUUCAACAGAACCACAUUCCACACCCUGUAACAACUAACAAAUAUUUGAUCUUCUUAUCAAAGUUACAAUAUUCAAAAAGAUCAAACUGUUUCAGUUUACCAGUACUGGAAGUGCAAACCUCUGCUCUGCUCUGCUCUUAUAUAUUCUAUAAGGGAAUAACAGAAUUUAUGAAACUACACCUACUUUAGAAAAGACGGCCCAUCAAUUGUACGUAAACAAGAUAACAAACAAUGGCUAUCUCUUUUAACUUUUUGCUAGUUAUUCACUGUCUGUAAACCUCCUUCAAAAGAAUUUGUUAACUUUGGAAGCCUUUUCUUACCAAGCAAAACUGGACAGUAGAAAGCUACCUGGUGGGUAUAAACCUAAAAUGGUACUCACAUGUUUGGAUUACCAGUUAUCUGGUUAUAUGUGAAGAAUGUACAGGCAAACGACACAUCUUUUUCUUGUUCAAAUUACUUACUGUGAAAGUUCCUUCUGACAGCAGAGGUAACCAUGAUCUGAUGUGUAGUCCAAUCUUACACAUUAAUUAGAUCUUUGUAGUAGAUGUAACUUUGGAAAUUUGCAUUUCUGUUAAUUGAAAGAGCAACCAUUGUUAGUGAGCUUUAUUCAAUCUAUGAUGGUAGUGAGACGUGAGGUCCUUUCUCUAUCAUGCCAUGAAUGUCAGUCUAUUAUUUGUGCAUCUUUCCUUAAUGUUUUUAACAAAAUAAACACCAAAUGCCAAUAUUAAAUGACACACAAAGACUAGUGGAUAAAGAAGUAGCAACAUAGUUAGUACUGGUUUUAAUGAACUAGGUUUGACUUUGUCGACUAACAAAAUGUGAAUUGCUACGACUUGUUAAUUCAUAAGAAAAAAAAUUGAUAUGCUUUUGUUAUUGUUUUAAAAUAUAUUUGUACUACUUUUCACUCUUUAUGCUCCCAUCAGGUUGCUGCUGUGGUGAAGGAACUGUCUUAAUUUGUUUAUUUUAUAAGUGGACUUAAUAAGGCCUUCUCAGAGUAACCGGAAACUAAAGAUCGAGAGGUGAAGUAAUCCACUUCCUACAGAGUUUAUUAAGGAAAAAAAUUACUCCAUGACAGCAAUGUUUAACAGGCAUCCUUGGCAUUUCAAGAGGUCUAAUUUUUUAUGGUGCUUACCAUGGUAUCAGCUUCAAUAUCUCCGAUUUCAUAACUCUUGACACUUCUGAAGGUUCGAUUGUGUCAAAGAAAGGUCCGUGGAGUGUGAAUUAGCAGCUCCGGAGCCUCUGAGAAUAUUUAUCUAGUUAGAUGCGGACUGGUUGACAUCAGCGCUGCAGGAAUCACUAAUACCUGUUUGGUGAUAAAGAUUUCUAUGGCAUCUUUGGAAGUGGCAUGGCUUCUAUCAGUUGCGUCAGUACAUGGAGAUGCUGAAUAUGACCAUAGAUUUCCCAUUGGACACUACGAGAACAAAUAGAGGAGCCGAGGACUAGUUGAGUGGAAUAAUCUGAUAGCACCGUCAAGGUGUAAAUACGUGCUGGCUUCCUCGCGGGAAAUUAUGUCUACCUGCCCAGCUCAAUAAUUCUGCUAGUCUACAAUAGUAGAUGCGAAGUCUGGAAUAUUUAAGCUGCUUGCACGUCAACCAUAGGAAGGAAAACAUGUCAAUUACGGUGGAAGUGCAGAGUUCGCUGUACCUGCUCAACCUCUUCAUGAUAUGUUCUUUAUCUAUUUUCUCUCGGUUGUGAUACGUUCUGCCGGUAUUGCGACAGGCACAUCUUUGUGGUCCGGCGCGGGAAAGGGGCUUGGAAUCUGGAGUCUCUGCGCUCCGCCUCUAUUUCCUCAAUUAUAUCAUCCAUUUGCAGAAUCUGAACAUUUGCACGGGGGAAAGGCAAACGCGGACUUGACGCCCAAAAGCGCCAUGGCAUCGGUGAUGCUGCCGAUGCUUUCCUUCCACUCUGCUCCCGUGCCCAAUGGCAGAGUAAAGACUGGAAAGGGAUAGCACUCGCAAUGCCGGCACUUUCACCUCGCACGAACAAAAGUCGCAGGAUGGAACACAAAGCAUCUGUACGAGUGCUAGUGUGCAAUUCUACUCAUGUCGCAUCCCAGGGAAGAGAAGCAGAAAAAAAAAGCAAAGCGGACAAAAGAAGGCCAGGGACGGUGGUGACUGGUGAAAGAGAAAGCUAGCGCAAAGCGGCGGAAGGCACCAACGGCCCAACUCACGGGGGUGCCCACUUCGCCCUCGUGUCGCGUUGGAUUCGCAUGAAUCUUGCGUGUGUGCUUGUGCUCCCGAGGCCCCGCGCGGCAAGUUGCAGCCCGAGCAGUCUGGCCCUCGGCGCGUGUCUGGAGCCAGGCAGCGCAGGCAGCACAGGCACUGUACAUGGGAGAGGACAUGCCAUGCCAUGAUGCAUUUAUGCAGGAAGCAGAGCAGCAAAGGGGAGGGCGAUUAAACAAAAGCGGAUGGUUAGAGCCGUGGAAUUCAGAGCUGGCUCAUGUGGAGCAGGGUGUAGCACCUCUAGUUUUCAGGGUUGCUUUUACGCUUUGUCGUGACUGGACGAGACAACCCAUUCGCCGGUUCAGGGUUAUCAAAACGGGGUAAACAAUGCGAUAUGGGCAUUGCAUUCGGCUGGCCAAACUGGACUGGGAGCAAGAGCAAAAGAUGAUUCGUGGAGGAGAAAGUAGACUGGUCUGGUCUGGUCAGGUCAGGUUCUACUGCUAACUGGUGACGUGACAACUGAAAUUUCCCUGCGACAGCCGAGUCAGACGCCACAGAAGCAAGUGGCACAUGAAGCAACUGUGCACUCCGUCGGGAGCACCGUCGCCGGCGAAGGAGAUACCGAGCCAAUGGCUGAGGUUGGUCGGUGGGGCGUGCUGAGCGAAGAAUCAGGUGAAAGGUACCGGCAGUAUAAUUUGGAUUCCAUACAUAGUAAUCGCAUCAAUCGAGCAUAGCCUCUCUUUCUCGGAAAGCUCUUGUUUGUAUCUGCACUGCUAGGAAUGAGCAAACCCACUACAAAUAUCCUGCUUAACGGUGAGCGCCACUGAAGUCUUGAGUGGA